ACGAAAAAAACGACCAGAAUCGUUAUCGUUUUAAUUUUUAACAAUACAAAUAUUGUACGCAGAGCGGUUUGAAAAAUACAAAUCGGCAGUCUUGCUCGUUUGUAAGACGGUACACGGUAAAUUUUGUUUUCGAAAACGUCGAACCCCCUGUAGACAGCGUCAGCUGUGUCGUCGGGUACCUAAUUCGUAGUCACGAUCACCGGGUGCCUUUAUUCCGGAACUGUUUUCAAUAUUCUUUUUUUUUUUUCAACUCCCGAAAAACGAUUAUCACGACGAAACAUCAUGGAUGUCGUAUACUCGUAAGGCGGGCACGCUCGUCGGAAAAAUGAAACCGGCACUGCGCAAUAACCUAAUCACGUCGGGCGCACGCGAAAAAUCGAAUGCGGUUGCGACGAGAACCACGCGCCCGACGAAAUAUCAUGGACGCCGCCGCGGCGAUCAACGUUUGCGGUGUUCAAAGAGGCUUUCAAACGUAUCGGCGCGCGUUAAAGUCUCAUGCCGGGUACGAGCGAAUGCGUACCUUUGAAGACUUUGGGAGUGAAGGGGGGGGGGAAGUGCGAAGGCCGUAGAGUCGGAUUUCGUAUUAACGAGUGUUUUUAUUGCCUCU